rnacentral:sRNA from 1 species
AAAACUGUUACCGCAGUUUAAUCACGUAACAAAAGCCGGGUCUUACGGUAACGAAGACCCG